GAUGAACGCUGGCGGCGUGCUUAACACAUGCAAGUCGAACGAUGAAGCCCAGCUUGCUGGGUGGAUUAGUGGCGAACGGGUGAGUAACACGUGAGUAACCUGCCCUUCACUCUGGGAUAAGCCUGGGAAACUGGGUCUAAUAACGGAUAGGAGCUUCUACCGCACGGUGGGUGUUGGAGAGAUUUAUCGGUUUUGGAUGGCCUCGCGGCCUAUCAGCUUGUUGGUGAGGUAAUGGCUCACCAAGGCGACGACGGGUAGCCGGCCUGAGAGGGUGACCGGCCACACUGGGACUGAGACACGGCCCAGACUCCUACGGGAGGCAGCAGUGGGGAAUAUUGCACAAUGGGCGAAAGCCUGAUGCAGCGACGCCGCGUGAGGGAUGACGGCCUUCGGGUUGUAAACCUCUUUCAGUAGGGAAGAAGCGAAAGUGACGGUACCUGCAGAAGAAGCACCGGCUAACUACGUG
rnacentral:rRNA from 1 species